rnacentral:rRNA from 1 species
AUUAUGCAAAAAAUUGCAUCGUGUCGGCGAGUGUAUUCGAUAAGUCAUAACGACUCUCGGCAACGGAUAUCUCGGCUCUCGCAUCGAUGAAGAACGUAGCAAAAUGCGAUACGUGGUGUGAAUUGCAGGAUCCCGUGAACCAUCGAGUUUUUGAACGCAAGUUGCGCCCGAAGCCUUUAGGCCGAGGGCACGUCUGCCUGGGCGUCACGCACCGUUGCCCCCCAAACCCCCUCAGUCCUCCACGGAGGAUUGGCGAGGCGCGUGGGGGGCGUAAAGUGGCUUCCCGUCGGCUUUGUCCCGCGGUUGGCCUAAAAAUGAAUCCCUAGCCGCGGUGCGCGCGGCAUUCGGUGGUCAUCGAUCCCUUUCGUUACCCCGCCGCGCGCUCACGUGCCGCGAAGGAUGUCACACUAGUAAACCCGACGCCUCGCUUUGUGAAGAGCGGAGCUUACAACGCGACCCCAGGUCAGGCGGGGCUACCCGCUGAA